UUCAAUCCAACCCAAGAGGAUUUAGUUACUUGGCAUCUCAGAGAAGCCUGCGGAAACAUUGCCUUAUCAGGAUGUGGGGAGCACAGCCGCACACACCCCCCUCCCAUGAAGCCCGGUUUUCUGGAAGGUUGGUGGGUGUGGUGCGCACUCGUCCACGGCCCUAAUGCCCAGAGCCUGGGAACGCGUCACUUUGUCCAGCAAAAGGGAUUCCGUAGCUGUGGUGAAGUUCAGGAUCUUGAGAUGGGAAGAUCGUCCCAGAAGGAGCGCAGCGCGGCCAACACCUUGAUGGGGGCCCAGGGAGACCCAGUGCAGACCACUGACCACCGGAGCUCUGAGAGAAUAAACGUGUGUUGUUAGAAGCCGCUGAGUUUGCCAGCGAAGCCACUGAAUUUGU